AAUAAAGAAGGGCCCCUUAGUUGAAAUGCAGGACUGAAGCUCUUCAUAACCACCGGGCAACUGUUACGAGGCAAAAAGAAAGUUAAAAGAGCCCCAGGUUUUGACAGUGAAAUCUCUUGUCUUUCUGGGCAAGCAUAUUCAGUGCCAUUUAAGAAAUUCCUGUGGACCUGCCUUUUUCAUGAUCUCUUCGUACAUGGAGAAAGAAGAAGGAAGGAAGAAGACUCAGAGGUAUAACGAAGAUUUCAACCACCAGAUGACUUUGCUCCUUCAUGGAAGGCCCCAACAGUGCUCAUCCAGGUUGGUGGACCAGCCCUGAAGAGGACCAACAAGACAACUAACAACUCAGAGUCGCAAAAUCUAAUUCUGAACAAAGCAAAUUCAAUGCUGUUGAAGUUUAGUUUCUCGUGGGUUAAAACUUGACCUCUUUGCCUUUGGAGACUGAGGUUCAGGUUCCAUUAAUUUACAGGAAAGAAUACAUUUGAUGAGUUCAUCAUAGCCUAUGGUGGGGAUAUUUUGUCACAGCAGAAAAUCACCGCACAAUACAACAUGAUUGGCAGCUGCUUCCUAAGAGCGGCCCGUGGCUGCGGUAGGAAACGUUGCAGCUGCUUGUGAUGGAGAGCCAUUGGCAGUCAGCGAUGGGGACUUGCCCACAACAUCCCUUUGAACCUUGCAGAGCACUGGCUAGCCUUCCACAUCCCUUGCUUUGGGGUUCACCCAAUUCUUUGCCUCACACCUACAACUUGGGAAAUAAAUUGCUUUACACCUCAUAGAUAAGCUAGUUUACAUAUAGGAGCAAUUGGAUAUCCAAAAUGUAUUUAUAGAUACAUCUGAACAAAAUGAUUGCAGGAGGACUGCACAGAGAAAUGC